rnacentral:lncRNA from 1 species
GAGGUGGAUGUGAGAGGAAUGGGGGAAGAGAGGAAGUGCUGUGGCAAACUGUCCCAUCUAAAAGGGACAACUGCCUCUUGCUUCCACAUGGGAAUGCGGGGCCCAAUUUGACGUAUCAUCCAAUUUGUCAAAAGCAGCCACAAACCCAGAAAUUUUUAUGAUAAAUUUUCUGAUUUUAAAAUAUUGACUUUUAAUUGAGUUCUUGAAAUGCAGCCCAAUAUUGCGUGUAUUGACCUACUUGCAGUUUUUGGGAUGUGCUGUUUUAUCUUGUGACUCUCUAUUUGUAAAUGAUGCUCCCUAUAAGUGCCACUCCUUCCCUCCUCCUGCCUCAAAACCAGGCAAAAUUAGAUUAUUUAAAAUGUCAGGUUAGCCUUUCCUGACCCCAAGACAGGCAGCUCUCCUAGUGUUCUCAAAGCUCUAGCAUUUCGUACAUUGCAUUGCAAUGCUUUUAUUCCCCGGCUUUGAGCAAAAACAUUAUUUAUUUUUUUGGUAAUUAUAACACUUGGUAGUUAAAUAUUUUUUGCCGUAUAAUGAAUUAAACUCUGCGUUUGAAUCUGUUGAUUCAGUAUCCUAUUGCUCUCGUUGAUUCUCUUUCUCCUCACAUAUUUUUAGUGUUCAAAGGAUCUUUUUUUCCCUAAGGAAUGUGUUAUAUAAGGUAAACAUCAUUUUGAUGCUUCGGUUUGAAUUGUCUAGGUCUAAAAUUAAUUCUUUAUGACUUAUGUUUAUGAUACUAAUUCUUUCCAUCAAGGAAUUAAGUCUUCAUUAUGGACGUAUUUCUUGAUUUCUUUCAUUAUAAUUUGUUCAUGUUUUUGUCUAGGUCAUGAAUAUCCCUUAUUGCAUAAAUUCUUUCUUGGCUAAAUAUAUCUGUAUUGCUAUGGGAAUCUCUAUCUUCAGAAUGCUAUUGAUUUUCAAAAUAUUUGUCUUUAGGUGAGUUGUCUUUGUUCUAACAGUAUUAGAUGGCUUGUUUGGUUUUUUUUUUUAAAUAUAAAAUUGUAGCUGCAAAAAUAUUUGUCUUAUGUAUUUCUAUUAUAUCUUUUUGUUAAAUAAAAUUGUAAUAAGAUAUUUUUGGAUAUUUCCUCAUUUAAUAUGAAGUUAAUUAUUGGUUUUAAACAAAUAUUCUCUAUUAUAAUAAGGGAAAUAACAUCCUUUAUUCUUGUUUAUUAGAAGCUUUUGGUAGGAAUUGGUAUCUUUUGAUAUAAUCAUAUAAUGUUAAUCAUUUAAGUUACCUAAUAUGAUUAUAUUCAUGGUUUUCAUGAUACUAAAACAUCCUUAAAUUCUUGAGUAAGCUCCACUUGAUAAUGCCAUAUAUUCUUUUAAUGUAUUUUUUAUCCUAUUUGGUAACUUUCAAGUGUAUGCAUCUAAACAUUCAUAAAUAAAUUUCAUUUAUAUGU